rnacentral:rRNA from 1 species
UACGUAGGGUGCGAGCGUUGUCCGGAAUUAUUGGGCGUAAAGGGCGCGUAGGCGGCUUUGCAAGUGACGGGUGAAAGCCCUCGGCUUAACCGAGGAACUGCCUGUCAGACUGUGAGGCUUGAGACCGGGAGAGGUGAGUGGAAUUCCCAGUGUAGCGGUGAAAUGCGUAGAUAUUGGGAGGAACACCAGUGGCGAAGGCGGCUCACUGGACCGGAACUGACGCUGAGGCGCGAAAGCGUGGGGAGCAAACAGG